ACAUCAUCAAAUGCCAAGGCUCCAACUGCAAAUCUUGCAGCCUUGUGUGCCUCAGCAAUUUUCUCAGGUGGAGGCUGGUAAUUGCUGUCAUAUUGGUAUGUUUGAGUUGAAGUAGGGCCAGGAUCCGAGUCAGUCCCAUUUGUACUGCUUGUAGUAUAUUGGGCAGUUGAUAGAUAGCUGCUUGGAGGAGCUGACUGUGGAGCAUAGGAAGA
rnacentral:misc_RNA from 1 species